AAGGCUGGUGAUUUUCUUUAGGGUUAGAGUUACCCAGACCUCCAAUUGGAACUUUAAAAACGGGUUCAAAAAGCGCUCCCUCUUUUGACAGCGUUUGUUGUGGGAACUGAUAUUUUGAUGCAGCAACAGGGUUUUCCUUUGUAGUGUUGUGUUCCUUGCUGUCCGCCCCUCCUGACUCACUUUUUCAGCUCAUCUUCCUGCAGAGUUGAUUGUGAGAUUGCAGGUCGAGAGAAUGACCAUUCGAGUGUACUGCUCGUUUGGUGCUGUUUUAUUGUGUAUGUCUGCAUGUUUGAGCACAACAGACGCUGGAGUCGUAGUGUCCGGUCAGUGUCCGGCGACGUUGACGGUCGAGCCGUCCCAUCGAGGAUGCACUUCUGAUAGAGACUGUUGUGGAGGACACAAAUGCUGUCCAUUUCCCUGUGGUCCUGUGUGUGUGCCGCCUGUUUUCAUGUGAAGAAUG